rnacentral:rRNA from 1 species
UGCCAGCCGCCGCGGUAAUACGUAGGGGGCCAGCGUUGUCCGGAAUCAUUGGGCGUAAAGCGCGUGUAGGCGGUUCGAUAGGUCCGAUGUGAAAACUCGAGGCUCAACUUCGAGAGGUCAUCGGAAACCAUCGGACUAGAGUCCGGAAGAGGAGAGUGGAAUUCCUGGUGUAGCGGUGAAAUGCGCAGAUAUCAGGAAGAACACCGAUGGCGAAGGCAGCUCUCUGGGACGGUACUGACGCUAAGACGCGAAAGCGUGGGGAGCGAACAGGAUUAGAUA